CAGGGACUGAGAAGCUGCCCUGUAAGUGAGGAGGAGUGACAGAGCUAACUCAACAUAACCAGGGAAGAGAUGACUCCCAACACCUUGGCUGCCCCAAAACUGAGUGAGGCCUUGGCAAUCCAUGUCUGAUCCUGCUGUGCAUUGGGUCUUCCUGUCAAUACUUAGUGAGGUAGCACUGAAGAACACUUCAGAAUGGACUCUGGGUGCUGAGACCAGGGAAAAGAAGAAACUAGCCCUACUUAUGCAAGACACUCCUAUAAAUCCAUCACCCUAAAUCAGCCUAUGGAAGCCAGUGGAGAACUUCCCAGCAGAUCCUCUCCACCCUAAUGAAGGUCUGAGGAGGAUAUCAAAGAAUUUGUUGGUAAUGGGCUUGCGUCCCAGGGGACUGGUGCAAGGGUGGGGUCUCUUUCCCAACACCUGAGAAAAAGCGUAAA